ACGAACGCUGGCGGCACGCUUAACACAUGCAAGUCGAACGAGAGAAGAGGAGCUUGCUUUUCUGAUCUAGUGGCGGACGGGUGAGUAACACGUGAGCAAUCUGCCUUUCAGAGGGGGAUACCGAUUGGAAACGAUCGUUAAUACCGCAUAACAUAAUUGAACCGCAUGAUUUGAUUAUCAAAGAUUUAUCGCUGAAAGAUGAGCUCGCGUCUGAUUAGCUAGUUGGUAAGGUAACGGCUUACCAAGGCGACGAUCAGUAGCCGGACUGAGAGGUUGAUCGGCCACAUUGGGACUGAGACACGGCCCAGACUCCUACGGGAGGCAGCAGUGGGGAAUAUUGCGCAAUGGAGGAAACUCUGAUGCAGCGAUGCCGCGUGAGGGAAGAAGGUUUUAGGAUUGUAAACCUCUGUCUUCAGGGACGAAAAAAGACGGUACCUGAGGAGGAAGCUCCGGCUAACUACGUGCCAGCAGCCGCGGUAAUACGUAGGGAGCGAGCGUUGUCCGGAAUUACUGGGUGUAAAGGGAGCGUAGGCGGGAUCGCAAGUCAGAUGUGAAAACUAUGGGCUUAACCCAUAAACUGCAUUUGAAACUGUGGUUCUUGAGUGAAGUAGAGGUAAGCGGAAUUCCUAGUGUAGCGGUGAAAUGCGUAGAUAUUAGGAGGAACAUCAGUGGCGAAGGCGGCUUACUGGGCUUUAACUGACGCUGAGGCUCGAAAGCGUGGGGAGCAAACAGGAUUAGAUACCCUGGUAGUCCACGCCGUAAACGAUGAUUACUAGGUGUGGGGGGACUGACCCCUUCCGUGCCGCAGCAAACGCAAUAAGUAAUCCACCUGGGGAGUACGACCGCAAGGUUGAAACUCAAAGGAAUUGACGGGGGCCCGCACAAGCAGUGGAGUAUGUGGAUUAAUUCGAAGCAACGCGAAGAACCUUACCAGGUCUUGACAUCGUAUGCAUAGCUCAGAGAUGAGUGAAAUCUCUUCGGAGACAUAUAGACAGGUGGUGCAUGGUUGUCGUCAGCUCGUGUCGUGAGAUGUUGGGUUAAGUCCCGCAACGAGCGCAACCCUUACUGUUAGUUGCUACGCAAGAGCACUCUAGCAGGACUGCCGUUGACAAAACGGAGGAAGGUGGGGAUGACGUCAAAUCAUCAUGCCCCUUAUGACCUGGGCCUCACACGUACUACAAUGGCUGUCAACAGAGGGAAGCAAAGCCGCGAGGUGGAGCAAACCCCUAAAAGCAGUCUUAGUUCGGAUUGUAGGCUGCAACCCGCCUACAUGAAGUCGGAAUUGCUAGUAAUCGCAGAUCAGCAUGCUGCGGUGAAUACGUUCCCGGGCCUUGUACACACCGCCCGUCACGCCAUGGGAGUCGGUAACACCCGAAGCCUGUAGUCUAACCGCAAGGAGGACGCAGUCGAAGGUGGGAUUGAUGACUGGGGUG
rnacentral:rRNA from 1 species